AUUGAACGCUGGCGGCAUGCCUUACACAUGCAAGUCGAACGGCAGCACGGGUGCUUGCACCUGGUGGCGAGUGGCGAACGGGUGAGUAAUACAUCGGAACGUACCUUAUCGUGGGGGAUAAUGCAGCGAAAGUUGCGCUAAUACCGCAUACGCCCUGAGGGGGAAAGCGGGGGACCGUAAGGCCUCGCGCGAUUAGAGCGGCCGAUGUCUGAUUAGCUUGUUGGUGAGGUAAAAGCUCACCAAGGCGAUGAUCAGUAGCUGGUCUGAGAGGACGAUCAGCCACACUGGGACUGAGACACGGCCCAGACUCCUACGGGAGGCAGCAGUGGGGAAUUUUGGACAAUGGGGGCAACCCUGAUCCAGCAAUGCCGCGUGAGUGAAGAAGGCCUUCGGGUUGUAAAGCUCUUUUGUCAGGGAAGAGACAGCAGCUCUAACACAGUCUGCGAAUGACGGUACCUGAAGAAUAAGCACCGGCUAACUACGUGCCAGCCGCCGCUGUAA
rnacentral:rRNA from 1 species